rnacentral:rRNA from 1 species
CGUUUAUUUGAUAGUGCCUUACUACUUGGAUAACCGUGGUAAUUCUAGAGCUAAUACAUGCUAAAAACCCCGACUUCGGAAGGGGUGUAUUUAUUAGAUACAAAACCAAUGCCCUUCGGGGCUCCUUGGUGAUUCAUGAUAACUAUACGAAUCGCACGGCCUUGCGCCGGCGAUGGUUCAUUCAAAUUUCUUCCCUAUCAACUUUCGAUGUUUGGGUAUUGGCCAAACAUGGUUGCAACGGGUAACGGAGGGUUAGGGCUCGACCCCGGAGAAGGAGCCUGAGAAACGGCUACUACAUCCAAGGAAGGCAGCAGGCGCGCAAAUUACCCAAUCCCGACUCGGGGAGGUAGUGACAAUAAAUACUGAUACAGGGCCCUUUCGGGCCUUGUAAUUGGAAUGAGUACAAUUUAAAUCCCUUAACGAGGAACAAUUGGAGGGCAAGUCUGGUGCCAGCAGCCGCGGUAAUUCCAGCUCCAAUAGCGUAUAUUAAAGUUGUUGUGGUUAAAAAGCUCGUAGUUGAACCUUGGGCCUGGCUGGCCGGUCCGCCUCACCGCGUGCACUGGUCCGGCCGGGCCUUUCCCUCUGUGGAACCCCAUACCCUUCACUGGGCGUGGCGGGGAAACAGGACAUUUACUUUGAAAAAAUUAGAGUGCUCCAGGCAGGCCUAUGCUCGAAUACAUUAGCAUGGAAUAAUAAAAUAGGACGCGCGGUUCUAUUUUGUUGGUUUAUAGGACCGCCGUAAUGAUUAAUAGGGACAGUCGGGGGCAUCAGUAUUCAACUGUCAGAGGUGAAAUUCUUGGAUCAGUUGAAGACUAACUACUGCGAAAGCAUUUGCCAAGGAUGUUUUCAUUAAUCAGGAACGAAAGUUAGGGGAUCGAAGACGAUCAGAUACCGUCGUAGUCUUAACCAUAAACUAUGCCGACUAGGGAUCGGACGGUGUUAUUCAUGACCCGUUCGGCACCUUACGAGAAAUCAAAGUGCUUGGGCUCCAGGGGGAGUAUGGUCGCAAGGCUGAAACUUAAAGAAAUUGACGGAAG